rnacentral:rRNA from 1 species
CAAGUCGAACGAUGAAGUUCCUUCGGGAAUGGAUUAGUGGCGAACGGGAGAGGAACACGUGAGAAACCUGCCUUUCAUUCUGGGAUAACACCGGGAAACCGGUGCUAAUACCGGAUACUCCAUCUUGGCGGCAUCGCCAAGCUGGGAAAAAUUUUGAUGAAAGAUGGUCUCGCGGCCUAUCAGCUAGUUGGUGAGGUAAAGGCUCACCAAGGCGACGACGGGUAGCCGGCCUGAGAGGGCGACCGGCCACACUGGGACUGAGACACGGCCCAGACUCC